AUUGAACGCUGGCGGCAGGCCUAACACAUGCAAGUCGAGCGGAUGAAGGGAGCUUGCUCCUGGAUUCAGCGGCGGACGGGUGAGUAAUGCCUAGGAAUCUGCCUGGUAGUGGGGGAUAACGUCCGGAAACGGGCGCUAAUACCGCAUACGUCCUGAGGGAGAAAGUGGGGGAUCUUCGGACCUCACGCUAUCAGAUGAGCCUAGGUCGGAUUAGCUAGUUGGUGGGGUAAAGGCCUACCAAGGCGACGAUCCGUAACUGGUCUGAGAGGAUGAUCAGUCACACUGGAGCUGAGACACGGUCCAGACUCCUACGGGAGGCAGCAGUGGGGAAUAUUGGACAAUGGGCGAAAGCCUGAUCCAGCCAUGCCGCGUGUGUGAAGAAGGUCUUCGGAUUGUAAAGCACUUUAAGUUGGGAGGAAGGGCAGUAAGUUCAUACCUUGCUGUUUUGACGUUACCAACAGAAUAAGCACCGGCUAACUUCGUG
rnacentral:rRNA from 1 species